AACCAAAUCGCAAAACAGGCUUUCAACAUUCUCCGAAGAACCGACCGUUCCUAGCGUAAGCGGCAAAGGGUUUAGUGGUUGGUAUCCGAGGUUCCAAGUUCGAAUUCUAGUUGAUCCAUAUUUCCAAUUAAGUUUAUUUCUAAAUAAAAUAAACGAAACGGGUAGUAUUCUGCCUAUCUCUCAAAAAAUAUUCUCCGAAGAAACUAUAAAUAUAUAGAAAAGAACUAAUAUGUCUUUUUCA
rnacentral:lncRNA from 1 species